GGGGGGGGGGGGGGGGGGGGCGGGCGGGGGGAGGUGGGGGGGGGGCGGGGGGGAGCGUGCUGCUUUGCUGACGAGUGGCGGGGGGGUGGGUGAUGUCUGGGGGACUGCCUGAUGGAGUGGUGUAACUACUGGAGACGGUAGCUAAUCCCGCAUAACGUCGCUAGACCAAAGAUGGGGCGCUUCGGGCCUCUUGCCAUCUGUUGGGCCCAGAUGGGAUUAUCUAGUAGGUGGGGUAACGUCUCACCUACGCGCCGGUCCCUAGCUGUUCUGAUGGGCUGACCAGCCACACUGGAAAUGAGACACGGUCCGGACUCGUACGGGAGGCAGAAGUGGGGAAUAUUGAACAAUGGGCGCAAGCGUGAUGCAGCCAUGCCGCGUGUAUGAAGAAGGCCUUCGGGUUGUAAAGUACUUGCAGCGGGGAGGAAGGGAGUAAAGUUAAUACCUUUGCUCAUUGACGUUACCCGCAGAAGAAGCACCGGCUAACUCCGG
rnacentral:rRNA from 1 species